rnacentral:misc_RNA from 1 species
UACGGAGGGUGCGAGCGUUAAUCGGAAUUACUGGGCGUAAAGCGCGCGUAGGUGGCUUGAUAAGCCGGUUGUGAAAGCCCCGGGCUCAACCUGGGAACGGCAUCCGGAACUGUCAGGCUAGAGUGCAGGAGAGGAGAGCGGAAUUCCACGUGUAGCGGUGAAAUGCGUAGAUAUGUGGAGGAACACCAGUGGCGAAGGCGGCUCUCUGGACUGACACUGACACUGAGGUGCGAAAGCGUGGGUAGCAAACAGG